rnacentral:tRNA from 1 species
GAAUUGUAAGUCUUUUAUGAUAUUAUUUUGCAAAAAUAAUGUGGUUAUUAAUGUGUAACACAGUUUU